GGGAUAUUCUGCAUCAAACAUGGGAGUGCAAAGGAGCGGAAGAAGAUCAUCAAAGGGAUGAAAGACAAGGUUGGGAAGGUAGCACGUGAUAAAUGUGGGGCUUUGGUGCUUGUCUCUAUCCUUUCAAUUGUUGAUGACACAAAACUUCUAUCGAAGGUUAUCAUUCGUGAGCUUGAAGGAAUUCUGAAGGAGCUUCUUUCGGAUCAGAAUGGUAGGCGCCCAUUGUUGCAAUUACUGCAUCCAAAUAGCUCGCGUCAUUUCAGCCCUGAUGAGCUAGCAGCCCUUGGUUCAUCUGUUCCUUCGCUUGUCACCAAGAGCCCAUUGGAAGUAAAUGACGCAGAAACUUCAGUGCUUGGUGAAGCUGGUAAAGAAGAUGCUGAUAUCACCAAGAGUUCACAUGUGAAUGAAGGAGGAAAGAAGGAUCCUUUUACAAGGCGGCAAGAAUUAUUGGUCCAUAGUGGACUAGCUGAGAAACUCAUCGAUGCAUGUUGUGAGAUGGCGGAGGAAUUGCUAAGAUCAAACUUCGGGAAAGAUGUCAUAUAUGAGGUUGCCAUGGGAGGUGCUGACAGUAUCCUUAGUCCAACUUUAGAUGGAAAGUUGGAAACCUUACAUGGUGUUAUAGCAUCUCUGGCAGCACAUCCUAAAAAGGAGGGGUCAGAUGAACAACAUCUCUUUGAACACUUCCAUUCCAGCAGGACAAUCAGAAAACUGAUCUUGGACUCCCCUUCUUUUGCUUGCACUUUGUAUGAAAAAGCGUUGAAAGGAAAAUGUUCAAUUUGGGCUCAAGGCCACAGUGCGAAAGUAAUUAGUGCAUUGUUGGAAACUUCAAGUUCUAUGGUACACAAGCUUGUGGAGAAGGAAACGCAACCAUUGGUAGAUGAUGGUAUCCUCAAAUUAGCCAAAUGAUCUCCUAAAGCAGAAUGAGCCUGCAAUGAGGAUGAACUUCUGGUUAAAAAAAUCUACGAAUGAAGUGUCCCAAGGUUAUUAUCAGAUCAAGGAAUGCUUUGGACGAGUUCCUGGAAAAAAUGCCUUUACACUCGGAUGGUGAAGUUUUCUAUCAAGUCAAUGAAUAGGUGAUACAACAAAAGAGUUCUUUUUUGUACCAUAUAUAAAGAUAUGGAACAACACUUCUGGCCUGUCUAAAAUCUUGCUUUGUUUCCUAAUAUUCAGUAAAGCCCUUAUCAUUAAAAC
rnacentral:misc_RNA from 1 species